AGUGAACGCUGGCGGCGUGCCUAACACAUGCAAGUCGAACGAUGAUGGAGGAGCUUGCUCUUCCUGAUUAGUGGCGCACGGGUGAGUAAUGCAUAGAUAAUGUGCCCCUUAGUUCGGGAUAGCCACUGGAAACGGUGAUUAAUACCGGAUACUCCUUCUUACUAUAAGGUAAGUCGGGAAAGUUUUUCGCUAAGGGAUCAGUCUAUGUCCCAUCAGUUUGUUGGUGAGGUAAUGGCUCACCAAGACUAUGACGGGUAUCUGGUUUGAGAGGAUGAUCAGACACACUGGAACUGAGACACGGUCCAGACUCCUACGGGAGGCAGCAGUGAGGAAUAUUGCACAAUGGAGGAAACUCUGAUGCAGCAACGCCGCGUGGAGGAUGACGCAUUUCGGUGUGUAAACUCCUUUUAAGAGGGAAGAUUAUGAAGGUACCUCUUGAAUAAGCACCGGCCAACUCCGUGCCAGCAGCCGCAGUAAUAC
rnacentral:rRNA from 1 species